rnacentral:rRNA from 1 species
UACAGAGGUCUCAAGCGUUGUUCGGAUUCAUUGGGCGUAAAGGGUGCGUAGGUGGCGCCGUAAGUCAGGUGUGAAAUUUCGGAGCUUAACUCCGAAACUGCAUUUGAUACUGCGGUGCUUGAGGACUGGAGAGGAGACUGGAAUUUACGGUGUAGCAGUGAAAUGCGUAGAGAUCGUAAGGAAGACCAGUGGCGAAGGCGGGUCUC